rnacentral:lncRNA from 1 species
GAUCUGGUUAUGGCAGGAGGACUGAUUCUGAGUACGAGUCCGGGUAUGGCGGGAGGACUGGAUCUCAAUAUGGAUCGGAAUCUGGCUAUGGAUAUGAAGGGAGGACACAAACUGAAUAUGGCUCUGGGUACCAAGGAUCCGGGUAUGGCGGGAGGACUGAAUCUCAAUAUGGAUCGGAAUCUGGCUAUGGAUAUGAAGGGAGGACCCAAACUGAAUCUGGCUCUGGGUUCCAAGGGUCUGGAUAUGGAGGCAGGAAGCCAAGUUAUGGGGAGGAAGAUAGGCCUGAGUACCCUCCUCCGGGUUAUGGAGGUAGGCCAGACUAUGGAAGGCAAAGUGAAGGAGGGGAUGAAUAUGGAAGGCCCAGUUAUGGGAGGUCUGAAGAGGGAGAAGGCUAUAGGAAGCCAUCUGGUAGGCGUGAUGAUGAUGAUGAUGAUGAUGAUGAGAACCGCAAGUACAGUUAUGGUGGUGAUGGCGAGAGCUAUGGCCGCAAGAAAUAUGUAAGCAAAUAAUUACUCGGUCUUUUCAAUUUCUGUUCGAUGCCUUUUUGAUCCUUAUGUUUGCAUUCAUAUGUCGCAGUAUUUUUACAUUACCAUGUUUGCAGAAGGAUUUCUGAUUGCCUGUUUGAUUAAGCUGUCAUCAAAACAUUAAAAUUUUUUCCUUCAUCUUAAUUGCACAAUUGCUCCACCAUUUCGUCAUUGCUCAUGAAGAUUCAAUUGUGUAUGCACACCGGCAAGUCUAUUCUAAGUUAUUGACUUUUCCAUAGGCACUUUUGUAAUGAAAAGGAGCCCGAGUAUUGAUUUUCUCAAACUGGGUUAGACUAAUAAUGCCUGCGAUUCAGAAAUUGCUGCUUGAGCCAUUAUAGUUUUUUUUCAGUGGAACGUCUUGAUAUAAACCCAGAACAGUUACUUUGGCUUACCCCUUCCUGUUUGCAUGAAUUAUUGCCUCUGGUAUGUGUAUGCUCAAUGUGCUUCUGGUACGUAGAGACGUACCAAUAGUAUGUAGAGAAUCUGUCCUUAGAUUCUAUUUGAGUGUUUUGGGUUGACGUAUUACCGUGUGAGGUUUGAACUCGUAUUUUGAUCUUUCCUUCAAUGGCCAGAACUUCACAAGCACUUUGAACCUUUUAUCACUGUGUAAAUAUAGUAGUGGCUGAAAGCUAUGUGUAUCUAGUUUGUUGAGAUGGCAUUCACUUGUUAUUAAUUGCAGUUGACUCCAUAAUUCAGAAAGAACUUUCUUUGUCGACGUGCCUUAUAUGUCGUGAGUUCUGAUCAUUUCAAGUGUUAUGAGAUGUAAAGAUGAAUGAGUACUAUCUUUGUUAUGAAAAUUGGUAUAUAAGGAACGUGUGGAGCAUUUUAUGGUAUAAAUGAUUUGAUAUUCAUGUGUUAGAUAAUGAAUUGAUUUUCAGGGAGAUGAUGACUCUGAUGAUGAUGAGAAGAAACAGCGCCACAAGCAUCACCAUCACCACCACAAACACUAUGAUGAUGAGUGAUCAAACUGAAAGGUUCUCGGUGAAUGGAAUUCAUGCCUCACUGGUAGCUACUAAAUAAAGGGUUGUGGCAUGUGUUCUUUUGGGUACUUCUGUCUCUAAGUGUUCUAAACUUAAGUUUGUGCUGGUUAUUAAUAAGCAUGUGUGUGUAUGUCAAUAAAAUCCCAAACAUUCGGGUCUUUGAUGACACUAAUGUCA